AUUAUUCCAAUUUUUAAAUGUCAUUUAUUAACUUGAUCAUAUUGAACUAAUGAGUUUUAUUGUUAAAAUUUUUAUAGCUACAAGCAGAAGGGAGUAUUGGUAGGGUUGAUAGAAGUGUUUUAUGGAAGAAAGCACGUGAGAAGAAAGGAAAGUUUAAUAAGAUUACAGAGCCAGUGAUUAACAUGAUAGUAAGUUAGCAUAUUUAUGCCUUUUAGAACAAAACAUAUUUAUGUUAUACACCAAUUUGUCUAUUAUCCUUUGUAUUAAAACAAUUCAUUUUCUAGCUACCUUGAAUUGGUUGUCUUUGAUUGAUAUGUAAAUCAUCUUCAUCAAAUUAUUACUAAUAUAUGUUUUGUUGUAGGAUGAAUUACUAGAAAAUGCUAAGGAGACUGGACUACCUCCACCUGGUCCAAAUGACAUAUUAGGUCAAGCAUUGGGUAAGCCUGAUCAUCCAGGACGUGUGGUAGGUCAAGACCGUUUGGUUAGGCCUAGCUCAUACUUUCAUCAACCAUCUGAUGACAUGAAAAAAAUCAAAGAAGAAAUAUGGGAAAUGGUACGAAAGGAGAUGGAAGAUGCUGCAACAAGACAAGUUAUGUCUCCCCCCACACCCCAUUCUGAUAUGGGUAGUAAUAACAUGAGACAACAACUUGUUUUACAACCAGUUGUAGCAGAAAAACCAAUGUUUAAAAUGAUAGAAGAGCCCCAACCACCAGAACCACCACUGAAACACAAGGUAUGCAUUUACUUACUAAUAAUACAAGAUUAAUAUAAGUGAUAUAAAGCCUAUGUAAAUGAUAUUAUUUGUUGUAUUGAAGGUAAUUAAAUGCAAAUUAGCAGUGGAAAGAAAAGGAAAUGUUGUUGCAACUGGUACACUAAUAGAAGAAAAAGGAUCGAAUAGGUUGGUUGUAAUAAAUGUUGCACACAAGCCAGAUGCUAGACUCCCAUUUCCAAAUCCAUAUGAGAUUAUCAAUGUUGGGGAUGCUAUUGGCUUUGAGCUUGACUGGCCAACAAGCCUUGUCAUACUUGAAACUGAACAUCCCCAGGUAUGUCAUUUUAUGCCUAUAGUAAAUUUGAUUGUAACUUGGUAUUUUAUUGUUUAAGAGUAUAUAUAUCUAACAUUCCUUCCUUUUUCAUAGGUGUUGGAUAAAGGAAAGAAGAAGAUAGUGAAGACACCAAUUAUUCGAAAAUCUAAGCCUCAAAAUCAUUCGGUCAUUAAAAAUUUUCAGAAAUUUGUGGAUGGUUGCCUUGGUAAUGACAAGACAUACCCAAUACAGCUCCCCAUUUCACUAUUCGGUGUCGAAUUUCAAACAUAUAUAUCUAGAGAGGAUUGUGAAUACAUUAUUUCAUCUUUGGAGGUGUCAUCAAACUGCAUCUCCUUCUAUUUAUGGUGUGCACCUUUUAUUUUCAUUUGUUUUUAUUUUUUUAAUGAGUUGCCCAUGUUGAACAAGAUUGGAUAUGACUAAUGAUAAUUUUCUUUUGGUGUUUUGAUACAAUAAUAGGCACAUGCAUGAUCAAGUACAUAUUGCCAAAAAGGAAUCACAAUUUAUAUUUGUUAAUCCUUUUACAAUAUCACGAGCAGGCCUUAGUACUCCUCAAACAGAGAAAAGAGCACAAUUGUUGUCAAAACGCUUAAUGGAGUGCCAAGAUGCUAAAUAUGUUUUCAUACCCUACAACCCCGAGUAAGUGACAAAUAUUAUACUUUAAUUUGAGGUUUUAUGAUUGAUUUAUAUUUCUAAUUAUAUGCUACUUUUGUUUUUAAUGUUUUAGCUUUCAUUGGGUCUUGGUAGUGAUUGAGCCAAGGAAAAUGAUAGUCCACUAUCUUGACCCUAUGCAUCACAAACCAUGUGAGGACUUAAAGGAUAUCGUAAACAUGGCUCUUCGAAUAUCUGCAAAGAAAACAUCUAAGAGGGAGCCAUCUUGGCAACUAGUGCAGGUGACAUCCAAAAAAUUUUCUUUACACAUUAGCUUAUGCAUUUGCACCAUUUAUAUAUAUGAGUACUAAUGUUAUUUUAUAAUUGAUCGAUUAGUGUCCAAGGCAAGAAGGAGGGUUCGAAUGUGGCUACUUUGUUAUGAGAUUCAUAAAAGAGAUAAUUUUUUAUCCUACAAUUAUUGCUUCAAAGGUAUUACAAAUUUAAUGAAUUGUACAUAGUUUUAGGCUUCCAAAUGUUAUGCAUUUUAAUGUUAUUUUCUUAUUUGAUUUCAGUUUGGUGGUAAAAAAACAUAUUCUCAAGUAGAGUUCGAUGAAAUUAGAGGAGAAUGGGCUACUUUUGUGCUACAACUAAUCAUGAAUCAUGUUGAUGCAUCAUGAUCACCAUGCAUGGUAUACACUUUUGGGAUGGUGGAAUGGAGAAUAAAAAGAAAGAAGAAGGCAACAAGAUUUUGGGUUUUUAAAUGCAACUCUUAUGUCAUACGUUGUAGGACAUAAAUGUUACUUUAAUUAGUACUGAGAAAUUUAGAUUUUUAGAUGGGACUUUUAUGUCAUUUUAUAGUUAGCCGGUUUUAUGCUUAUGAAAUGGAGGUAUACAUGAAUCUUGGGAUCUUUAACAUUUGUAAAUCAUGUUUUGGUAUGUAUUCACUCUUCUUUUUUUAGUUUUGAUGGGUUUGAUUUGGUGGAUGUACUAUCUUUUUGUGAACAUUUGAUAUACAAAUAUUAUUAGAUGAUCAA